UAUAUUCCUUAUGGGUGCCGUAUCUAUGUUAUGUCAUCUGCUUCUGUGCUUUACUAUGUGUUUGUGUGAUAUCUCGUGACUUGAGCCGGGGGUCUUUCGGAAACAGCCUUUCUACUUCAUCAGAGGUAGAGGUAUGGACUGCGUACAUCUUACCCCCCCCCAGACCCCACUAAGUGGGAAUACACUGGGUUUGUUGUUGUUGUUGUUG
rnacentral:lncRNA from 1 species